rnacentral:snRNA from 1 species
CUCGCUUCUCGGCCUUUUGGCUAAGAUCAAGUGUAAUAUCUGUUCUUAUCAGUUUGAUGUUGUUGUUUUAAUGUUCCUGUUGGAAGCCAUUGCCAGGGUUUAUCUUUAUCCACUUUUU